AUACGGAGGGUGCAAGCGUUAUCCGGAUUCAUUGGGUUUAAAGGGUACGUAGGCGGAUAGAUAAGUUAGUGGUGAAAUCCCGAAGCUCAACUUCGGAACUGCCAUUAAAACUGUCUAUCUUGAAUUUGGUUGAAGUGGGCGGAAUAUGACAUGUAGCGGUGAAAUGCAUAGAUAUGUCAUGGAACACCAAUAGUGAAGACAGCUCACUAAGCCAAUAUUGACGCUGAGGUACGAAAGCAUGGGUAGCGAACAGGAUUAGAAACCCCAGUAGUCC
rnacentral:rRNA from 1 species